rnacentral:lncRNA from 1 species
GUAUUUGAAUUUGUGGCGCUUGGUGUCCGCGAGUUGCCGAAUGAAGCUGAGCGUCUCAGUGGAACCAGGGAUCUCAGGGGUGAGCGACCGCGAGGGGAGAGCGACGAAAAGGGCGGCCGGAGCUGGAGGGGCGCGGAGUUAAACAAAAAAGGGCGGCCGGAGCUGCAGGGGCGCCGAGUUAAACACGUCAUUUCCAGAUGGGGGGCUUCAGGCGAGCUGCUUAGCUCCCCUGAGGCAGGCCCUCCGUCUGUUCGCCUUUUCGUAGCCUCUGAGUUUUUCCCUCACGUCGUUUUCCGGCAGUCCCAGAGACGCCACGCCUGCCCCCGUUCUGUUGCCCCUGAUGGAAGGCUCCUCUUAACGCUACCUUCCCUCUUUCACAAAAUGUCUCUCAGCUUCCUUAUUUCGACGUGCUUACACCUCCCCCAAGUAUAAUUCACUCCCCACUGAUGUCUUUGGUAGUUUCAUCCUCGUCUUCAUCACUAAUACUAUGAGACACGGGGUGCGUGCACUUGACGAUGUAGAAAAAUGGUUUUCGCGCAACCUGGUGAGCGUCCCACACCUCACAAAUUGAAUCCAAAAAA